GUAAUUGUCAGGUGAGCCGGGACAGCCUUCUUCCUCCGCCCAGCCGCCACAGUAAUUUGUCGUCAAGUUUGCCGCAGGAGGAUAUUUUAUUCUGGGUUAACCUGCUUUUAUACUUCGCAGGUUGUUUAUCGAUAUUUGUGUAAUUUUAUUUACUCCUAGAAUUUUCGCAUGUGUUAGCAGUAAUUAUUUGAAUUUGGUCUGUAAUAUUAUUAUCAUGUUGGACCUGUAAACUUAAUAUUUUAAGUCUGUUUUGAUGGAUUGGAUGAGGGAGCUGAGCUCCCAUUUAUUAUUA